UAUCGGACAGGCGGUAGAGACGCCGUUGGUGGUGAUGGUGGUGGCGCUGGCGCCGGCUGGCAGCGGCGCCGGAGGCGACCGAGAUCGAUCGAGGUGGACAGAGCAGCCUUUGCACUUUUACAGAUGGAUGGAGGGCGUAAACCCUAACCAACUCGGAAGGUAUCCCUCUCGGCUGUCGUCUGAGGUCGGAACAAGAAUCGUCAACCACCACGCACACCACCUGUUCGACGAAACGUUCACGAGGACGACUGGUGGGUUGGACCAGCCGACGAGGGCAUGGAGUUAGUCAGCCGCCGCCCGCCGCGAGGUGCGUGCCGAUCCGUCCUUGAGGCAACUGCACCUGGAGGGCAUGCAGCCGUGCUGUGUGUCUCGGUGCCGACAGAUCAAUCUGAUAGAUGGAUCGAGAUCCAGACACUCAUGUUGAAAACCACAGCAUAGGAUGGUGAGCCCAGCUGAAGGGCAGCUGGACAGGCAGAAUCCAAGAGCCAAAAAGAUUCGUGGCCUGGUGCCCCUUAGCACGCAGCUUCGAUGAAGCUGCGACCUGCCCAACCAGCAAGUAAACAAAUGGAAGGCCAUUUGCAAAGUAUAGGACUGGUGGCUAAUGGAUGUCUUGAGAUAGCUGCAUUCUACCAUGCACACAAAUAGAGGUCCAUCAACAAAACUGAGAAUGAGAAGGGAGGCGACCAAGCAACAUGAAGCUGUUCCACGCAAGUGGGAGUUUCUCCUUGUCCCCAAAUGUGAAGUGAUAUUGUUUGCCAGGUUGCCAUCAAUCCAAUUUACAAUCACAGCUUAAUUAUCUUUCUGACUUGUUUGGCCCCCCAUUGCACCACUGACUCUUCGUGUGGCCUUACCCCUGCCCUUCGGCUAUAAAAGUAGACUCGGCCUCGCUCCCCUCUUUGCACCAGCACUGCUGUGUUCCUGUUUCCCCUUCUUCUAGGGUUAGAAAAGAUGAGGGUUCAAGCUGUGGUGUGCAGAAGUGAGCUCAGUGCUAUGGCAUGAAAUUCAAGAUCUGAUCUAUACAGCCAGGUUUUGCAUCUGGGGGCAGCAAGCUAGAGGCGGCAACUGCAUAACUUGCGAUAAAGUUGGACCAUGGUCGUGCCGAUGAUUUUACCGCAAGUUAUGCAGUUGCUGCCUCAAGCUUUCUGCCUCCCUUUGCCAAACCAGCAGGGAUCAGAUGAAGUUCAUUCAUAUAGAGACCUUCCAUAGCCAUGUAUUGUAGGUUUAUCCUGAGAGAUCAAAGAGAAAAUAAUGCCAGAAGGCUUUGUACGAUCUAUCAGUUUGUUAGGCAAACUACUAGCUUUCUAGCUGUUCAUGUAUUGUUACGCUGUUGUUCCCCAUUGCUGAAAACCUAAUGAAAUACUUAUGUUGCCGAGUUUUUUUUUU